UACGGAGGAUCCGAGCGUUAUCCGGAUUUAUUGGGUUUAAAGGGUGCGUAGGUGGAUUGAUAAGUCAGUGGUGAAAGUUUGCAGCUUAACUGCAAAAUUGCCGUUGAAACUGUUGGUCUUGAGUGCAAAUGAGGUAGGCGGAAUGUGUCGUGUAGCGGUGAAAUGCAUAGAUAUUACACAGAACACCGAUUGCGAAGGCAGCUUACUAAUCCAUCAUUGACGCUGAGGCACGAAAGCGUGGGGAUCAAACAGGAUUAGA
rnacentral:rRNA from 1 species